AAUCUGCCUCUAGGUCGGGGACAACAAUUGGAAACGAUUGCUAAUACCCGAUGUGCAGCAAUGUGAAAGAUUUAUUGCCUACAGAUGAGCUCGCGUCUGAUUAGCUAGUAGGUGUGGUAAUGGCGCACCUAGGCGACGAUCAAUAACUGGUCUGAGAGGAUGACCAGUCACACUGGGACUGAGACACGGCCCAGACUCCUACGGGAGGCAGCAGUGGGGAAUUUUCCGCAAUGGGCGAAAGCCUGACGGAGCAAUACCGCGUGAGG
rnacentral:rRNA from 1 species